UCAUUAGUGGGGGGGUAUUUAGUUUGUCUUUUUUGUUUGGGAAUUCGUGCGGGAUUGUUUCAUGUCAUGUUCUUUGUGAUAGUCGGCAUUUUGCGCUGCUUCAGCUACGCCGCGUAAUUUUUGGAUUAGGCAUUAGGGUUGCCGGGCUGCGCCCCGUGUGUUUUGAUUUUGGAGCUGUCCUCCUGUCUUACAUUCUGCGCACCCUGCCUUGUGGCAGCUUUAUUUAUCGGUGAUUAUUAAACAUCAGUUCAAACGGACCUCAGUCUCCUGCACUUGACUCUACCCCUUUCCUGCUAUCAAGGAUAUCUUUGACACUGACUGGAGAAAGGGGAGCAACCCUGAGAUAGAUUGUGCAGAGAGUAUCCCUUGAAAGCCUGACAAAGCUCAAGCUGGCCUUUGAGAAAUUUGAAAUGGGUAGCCUAAGAUCACUGGAUGUGUUCAACUUUGGACUGAUAGUGAAGAAGUGUUUGGGCUUACACAACAUAGUAAAUGUCAAUGGAACCGGAAAAGCAGCCAGAAGACCCAAAUUUUAAUUAUUGGACAGAUAGAUUAAUAAAUGAUUCGAUCUCUGACCCUCAUCUCUUUCUCUCUCUCUCUUCCUCUCUCUCAUGUGGUCUCUGUCUCUCUUUCUGUCUCUCUCUCUCUCCACAUAGCAAAUCCUUGACUACUAAACAAAACAGUUUCUGUAUUUGUCACACUGUAAAUGUUUCAUUGUAUUUUAAACAACACUGAUCAUUUUUUAACUCAGUAAUGUUGUUAUUGUCUGUCCCAUCAUUCCUUUGUUCUGUGAAUGUCAAAACAGUGCCCUAUUCAUGGAGAUUGGUUAUUCUGGCCAGGGGAGGAUGGAAAGGAUGAGAUGAUGAGAAUCAUUUCCUUUACUCUGGUCACAGAAUAUGUAUUCUCCUUACAGUGGAACGGUGACUGCCUGAGGAAAACAAUUGACAAGAACAAUUUCAUUUCAAAAUAAUAAGUACAGUUGACAUGAAACUGGAAUUCAAAAUGUUUGGGUCUGAUUCCAUGUCUAACAAAGAUUUUGUUUUAGCAUGAACCCAGGAAUUUAGUUUGAUACCCCAUUUCUAGAGUAUACUUUUUUUUCCUAAUGACCAAUUACAUUUUUACAUUUUUAGUUAUUUAGCAGACGCUCUUAUCCUGUCACGUCCUGACCAGCAGAGGGCGUAAUUGUUAGUCUUGGUCAGGAUGUGGCAGGUGGUUUGUGUUUGUUAA